rnacentral:rRNA from 1 species
UACGUAGGGUGCGAGCGUUGUCCGGAAUUAUUGGGCGUAAAGAGCUCGUAGGCGGUUUGUCGCGUCUGCUGUGAAAACUGGGGGCUCAACCCCCAGCCUGCAGUGGGUACGGGCAGACUAGAGUGCGGUAGGGGAGAUUGGAAUUCCUGGUGUAGCGGUGGAAUGCGCAGAUAUCAGGAGGAACACCGAUGGCGAAGGCAGAUCUCUGGGCCGUAACUGACGCUGAGGAGCGAAAGCAUGGGGAGUGAACAGG